CGUUCGGAGUUGUAAACUUCUUUUGAAGGGGAUGAAUCGCCUUGGUGAAUAGCCAAGGGUGACAGUACUCUUCGAAUAAGCCACGGCUAACUACGUGC
rnacentral:rRNA from 1 species